AAACCAUGAUGAGGGCAUUGAGAACAUUAGCCCUUGAACCUCUCCCAUGCUUCACUGAAGCUCUCUAGACCACAGUGUCACUUGGGAGAGUCUUCUCCCACUGGUGUGCCU
rnacentral:snoRNA from 1 species